CUUUAGCCCUGAUGUCCAAUUGUUUUCACAAUUACCUCUUGUGGCGGUGUUCGCCAUAAGAGAUACAGCGGACAGCAGGAACAAUA
rnacentral:misc_RNA from 1 species